UACGAAGGGGGCUAGCGUUGUUCGGAAUUACUGGGCGUAAAGCGCACGUAGGCGGAUUGUUAAGUCGGGGGUGAAAUCCUGGGGCUCAACCUCAGAACUGCCUUCGAUACUGGCGAUCUUGAGUUCGGAAGAGGUUGGUGGAACAGCUAGUGUAGAGGUGAAAUUCGUAGAUAUUAGCUAGAACACCAGUGGCGAAGGCGGCCAACUGGUCCGAUACUGACGCUGAGGUGCGAAAGCGUGGGGAGCAAACAGG
rnacentral:rRNA from 1 species